rnacentral:lncRNA from 1 species
AAAAUCAUAUUAUGUUCGUUGAUUUAGAAUACACAUCCUAAAAAGUGACAUCCCAUCUUUGUAUGGUCUCAUGUCUGAGCUAGGCAUCCCAUUGAAAUCUUUAACUUAACAUGCCAUUGUUCCACUACGCAAACAUGGGUUGCUAUCAACUGGACAAAUCAUUGUCAACUAAGUUUUUUAGUGCUUCAGCACUUCUACCAUAGUUAGUGUGCACUAAUGAAGCCUUGUUUUGAACUGAUAUUGUGGUUUUAAGUAAUUCUUUUUGUUUCUACUAUUGGCUUAGUAACUAUGCCCCACUUUUUGAUUUUGUAGC